CUCGUAGGUGGCCAACUAAGUCAGACGUGAAAUCCCUCGGCUUAACCGGGGAACUGCGUCUGAUACUGGAUGGCUUGAGAUUGGGAGAGGGACGCGGAAUUCCAGGUGUAGCGGUGAAAUGCGUAGAUAUCUGGAGGAACACCGGUGGCGAAGGCGGCGUCCUGGACCAACACUGACACUGAUGAGCGAAAGCCAGGGGAGCAAACG
rnacentral:rRNA from 1 species